rnacentral:rRNA from 1 species
UCGAGAAUCUUCCGCAAUGGGCGCAAGCCUGACGGAGCGACGCCGCGUGUGGGAUGAAGGCCUUCGGGUUGUAAACCACUGUCGUAGAGGAGGAAGGACCGGUGCAGAGCCGGUUUUGACCUAUUCUAGGAGGAAGGGUGGGCUAAGUUCGUGCCAGCAGCCGCGGUAAGACGAACCACCCAAACGUUAUUCGGAAUUACUGGGCUUAAAGGGUGCGUAGGCGGCGCGGAAAGUCAGAUGUGAAAUCCCUCGGCUUAACCGAGGAACUGCGUUUGAAACUACCGUGCUCGAGUAAGACAGAGGUAAGCGGAACUUCGGGUGGAGCGGUGAAAUGCGUUGAUAUCCGAAGGAACACCGGUGGCGAAAGCGGCUUACUGGGUCUUUACUGACGCUGAUGCACGAAAGCUAGGGGAGCAAACGGGAUUAGAUACCCCGGUAGUCCUAGCCGUAAACGAUGAGCACUUGGUUGGAGGCUCCUCCAUAGGCUUCCGGCCGUAGCGAAAGUGUUAAGUGCUCCGCCUGGGGAGUAU